CCUACGGGUUGCAGCAGUGGGGAAUAUUGGACAAUGGGGGGAACCCUGAUCCAGCCAUGCCGCGUGUGUGAAGAAGGCCUUAUGGUUGUAAAGCACUUUAAGCGAGGAGGAGGCUACUUUAGUUAAUACCUAGAGAUAGUGGACGUUACUCGCAGAAUAAGCACCGGCCAACUCUGUGCCAGCAGCCGCGGUAAUACAGAGGGUGCGAGCGUUAAUCGGAUUUACUGGGCGUAAAGCGUGCGUAGGCGGCUUAUUAAGUCGGAUGUGAAAUCCCCGAGCUUAACUUGGGAAUUGCAUUCGAUACUGGUUAGCUAGAGUGUGGGAGAGGAUGGUAGAAUUCCAGGUGUAGCGGUGAAAUGCGUAGAGAUCUGGAGGAAUACCGAUGGCGAAGGCAGCCAUCUGGCCUAACACUGACGCUGAGGUGCGAAAGCAUGGGGAGCAAACAGGAUUAGAUACCCCUGUAGUC
rnacentral:rRNA from 1 species